UACGGGGGGGGCAAGCGUUGUUCGGAAUUACUGGGCGUAAAGGGCCAGUAGGCGGCCAACUAAGUCGGAUGUGAAAUCCCCAGGCUUAACCUGGGAACUGCAUCCGAUACUGGAUGGCUUGAAUUCGGGAGAGGGAUGCAGAAUUCCAGGUGUAGCGGUGAAAUGCGUAGAUAUCUGGAGGAACACCGGUGGCGAAGGCGGCAUCCUGGACCGGCAUUGACGCUGAGGCGCGAAAGCUAGGGGAGCAAACGGG
rnacentral:rRNA from 1 species